AUUUAGAAGCUCUUCUAUUUUUUAUUUAAAAUAUGUAAUUUAAAUUAUGUAAUAGGACAACGUUAUUUAGAAGCUCUUACAUAGACCUAUAUAUUGGGAUGAGAGUUUACAAAUAUAAGAAAUGAAGAAUAAUGUAUGGUUUCAAGAUUUAGAGUUCAAGGAAAUAAUGUUGCUUUUAAUUUCUCUCAUAAGCUCUUGUCACUAAUACGUUUACAAAAGGAUGUGGGAGGGGUCUAGGACUAAUCCUUGAAGAAAGGGUAUCCCACAAGUAGGGUUCUUCCAGAUUUUCAAAUGGACCGUAAGCAAUGGGCUUAUAUCCGCUGACCAAAGAGAUAAAGCUGAGCAAUUCUGCGUUUUAGGGAGAAUUGUAACAACCCUCUCCACAAUUGUGGGCUUUUAUUGUUUUAGCUUUAGGAUUAAGUCCAUGUGAUUGCCUGAUUGGUAAGCCACAAAAACGUCAAGGCCUAGUCAUUGUUGGCACAUGUAUAUGUAAAUAUGUAUGCAUCUCCCUCUCCGUUAAGAUAAAAAAAACCCUUGCCGCUUUUGCCGAGAGAAAUAAUUGUCAUGAGUCUUUGGCUCUUUGCUAUCGCCGUUAUCGUCUUGUUCGUGUCUCUUCCACCACUGAUAUUGUUGUAUUUUCUCAGCGGCCACGUUGCCUUGGUCGGAGAAGAAGAGAAAUAUGGGAAGAAAUUGGUUGUGACGGAGAAAUUGGAAGCGAAGAUGGAGGAGACAUCACGGAUCUUAACCGUUCAACCCCGGAACCAAUGGCAAUGGAGACGAGAUCAUUCCACAAUGACGCCAAAUCACUGAUGAGUCUAUUUCGUAGCCAAGUAGAGAUGGUGGUAUUGAGAUCAGUUGAAGGGAAGAAAAAGAAACAAGAAGAAGGGAAAAGAGGAAGCAGGAAGAACAGUUUCAAGAGGGUGUUUUGAAGGGAGAAUUCUCGUCAUACCAGAGAGAAUCAGAUGACAAGUAAGACAUCUCUGGAAAUAUCUCGUUGCCAUAAAUCUACAGCAACUGACGGAGUUUGAAUCGGGGUUAUAUUCCAUAAGUUAUUUGCAUUGCUUUCCGUGCAAGAAACCACUUAAUCUGUUAAAAACUGGUAAGCAUAGAACCCUAGAAAACAGAUCUGACGCAUCAUAUUUAGGAGAACGUGGGUGUUUCAUCUAAUGUCCGAUCUGACUGGAAUUGGUGUAGAUCUUCAUGAUACUACUGGCUGCAUAUUUAACGGUGGGAUUAAGUUUCUAACGGUUAGAAUUUGAUUUAUAUAUAUGUUUCCAAGAUAUAUUUAUAUAGAAUAAAUUUUGACGAAGUUUAUAUUGUUGCUCGGGUAAAGGAGUUUGGCUUGAGCCCAAAAUUUGCAGGAGUCUUUAAGACUCUCAUAAUUAUGUCUAGGUUGAUGGAGAUCCAAGGUGGAGUUUAAUUCUAUGCGGUUGGAGGCAAGCUAGUAAUUUAUCUAAAGGAGAAAGGAGAAGAGAGUUGUUCUUCAUCUUCAAUUAGGCUAAGGUAUAUGAGAAGAGAAAACUAAAGAGUAUGUGAAGGAUACUUGAGGAAGUUGGACUGUUAUGGACCGACGGGUUCAUCUACUUGUCAUUAAGUGCUGUCGAGCAAUGAGGAGAAGGCUCGAGCUACGGGCCGUGGUCUUCCAUAAGUAGGCUUGAGUAGCCAUGAGUUAAAAGAAACUCGAGUAUCCAUAAGUUAAAAUACAUAAAACUAGAAAUGAAUGUAAAAUAUCUUGUCGUGAGCAAGACGAAUGCAUGUUUGUUUGAUUGAUAGACAUUCUGAAUCUAUACUAACUAAUGGUUGUUGAUUAUAUUUGGAACGUUUUUACUGUAUGUCCACUGGGAAGAGUUGAUAUGUUCACUGAGUAAACUUGUUUUACUCACCCCUUUUUUUUCCUUUUUUUCCUCCAGGUUAGUAAGUUUCAAAAGUUACGGGUUGAAGUUUGUUCGUUGGUGACUUUUAAAGAAAUAAACGUUUUGGUAAGACUGGAUGAAUAACAUACAGUCCUAUCCUUUAUGGCGUGACGGGUGUUACAUUCAAUCCAUGGCCUAGAAUAACAUGACGACUUUUCCAUCAUACUAGAACCACGAGCCCACUAGCCCACCAAAAUAGAACCACUAGCCCAUCACUUUAACUUCUUGAUUUUAUAAUUAUAGAUAUUCUUAGUCUAAUGGUCACAUAUCACUUCAAAGUCCUUUUUAGGGGAACAAAAAGAUCUUGUGCCAAUUAACCUUUGUGACUACCAGUCAACUUAGUCUUCAGAAACCUUUUAAUCACUCUUUCUGAUAUAUUGUUCACAUUUUUGUUAUCUUGAUACAAUGUAAAAGAUAGUCAUUUUAUAUAUGAAAGUUGUAGUGGAAGAGAGAGAGAUGGAGCCCACAUUUGAAGCCCACUGUAAUGGGCCAAAACAUUUGAAUUCAUAUAAUUAUCAAUAUUCAUGUAAAUUCUUACCAAUGUAGAGCCCACAACAAAAACGAUUUUACUCGAUUUUUUUUAGUGAUAAAAUACAACGUUAUAGUAUCUUGAAACUCGUGUUUAAACGACACUACUUCAAUCAAUCUAAUUCUUUUGUUUUUUAGCCAAACUUACGGAUUGACUAUCGGCUUUUGGAUCAAAUACUAGUUGAAACAAAUAUUAGUUAAAUGGUGCAAGAUUAACUUAUAAUUUUUGUAUGAAUUUGUAUUGCCCAUUCAUUCAUAUGCACAUAUUACUAUGGUUGUCUAUAAUUCACAUAUAAAUUGACCGUUUAUUUGAAAAUACUAUGUAAUUUUCCACCGACUUAAGUUCUACACCAAUGACACUUGGAACCAUACACGAACCACUUUAAAUUAGGUAGUGCUUGGAACAAUACACGAACCACUUUAAAUAAGGUAGUGUGGCACAAAGAGGUCCGGUUUGCUCAAGCCACACCGAAAUACUCCGUCUAUAUUUGGUUAGCAGUUCAAUAUAGGCUUUCAACAGGUGGAAUAUGUUUUUUCGUGUGUGUCAAAAGUGCAUAGAAACUCGAGAUAACUUAUUCUUCUCAUGCAGGUUUAUCUCGAAAAUCUAGGCUGCUCUCACUGACGGUCUAUUCAAAGCAAGAUACUCAACUGAUUGGUCUACUCGUAUAACUUAUGUUUCAGAGCAUCAACAGAAUCAAGUAGAAGGAUACUUGGCUCGAUAUGUCCUCCAAGCUACGGUCUAUGCGAUCAGGAGGAAGCAAAAUGGACGAAGACAUGAUGAAAAAUAUAACUAAGGAACUCAAAUCACCAAGUGGAUUGACAAGCAAGUUCGAAAUCAUCUUACAAUAAUUAAAAGUAUGGGCGAUAGGCGAUAGGCGAUAUGAUGAGGGUUUCCAAAUUUGACUCAAAACAUAGAUUUUUUAUAUGAUAGUCAAAAUAUAACUUUGUCUUAUUUAUCUCAACAAACCGUUGUACUAAUUGUAAAAACAUUAUUUUUUUCUUUUAAUAUAAUUAAACAUUGCAUUUAA